rnacentral:lncRNA from 1 species
GUUCUGACCUGUAGGAGGGGCUGUAGAGUCACUAAUCCAGUUCUCGUUUAUAUCUUCCUUACUCCAGUGCUGACAAACCCACAGUCACGCCUCGCGUUAGGAGCAUAUAACUGAGUUAGAGAUGAAACAGGGUUGGAGUGUUUAUGAUGUGUUCAGUCUGCUGUGUUGCUGAAACUGCGCGCUCUGCGUUUCCUGCAGCUCUAAACGUGUUAAAGAGAGUGUUCCACUCUGCACUCCCGAGUGUGUCCUGAAUCAGCCCGAAAUAGAAGUGUAUCUGCACCCCCCGCAGUGAGCCCAACACACACUCCAGCCUGGCAGAGCCUGACAGCACAAACACUGCUACGAUUACAGAGCUGAGGACAAUAAAGCACUCAACACGUACAGCACAGGGCACACAGUCUCUGUACAAAAAGCGCGAGCAGCUUCUCCCCCAGCACCAAUGUGCAUGCAGCUUUCACACUGGAGAUUCAUCUUUUUCUCGAGCAAAUAUAUUACUUUUGUAUUGCUUAUAUCUGUUAACAUGCUUUAACAUGCAUGUUGGGGCCCUAUGCUUAGUGCAUGAUCCACAUGGGUGAAGCACCAGCACUGCAUGUUUAUAAAAAAUAAAAAGAGUC